UGAUGGUGGAUUUGUUGGUGAAACAUCAGAGCACACUGGCCGUUGGAUCUUUUGACCAGUCUCGUUUUCAAAGAUGUGUAGCGUCUCACUAAUGGGCCGGGCUUAAUUAAAACGAUCCAGUAUAAAAACGCCAUCCAGUGCUAUAACUUAUAACUAAAACGGCAAGGCAUUGUGGAGUUUAGAACUCGUUUAGGACUGACUAUUCUCUCCGACGACGAUCUUCGUAUAAAACCAGAUCGGCGGGAAAUCGAGUUUCAAAUUCGCAGGAUUAGGUCGAGAUUCGUGUAAAUCCGAGAGUAUAGAAGCUUUUUGUUCACCAUCCUUGUGGAUUUUUACUCUAAAUUUCCAAAAAUGGAUUCGGAGUCUGUGAAGGAGUUCAUACGAAGCGAAGUUCCUGAUUGGGACGAUGAGGUGGUGGCGACGGCUAGAUUCAAGGCGUUUAGCGGACAGAGAUCCGAUUGGGAAGUUAAAUUUCAGUUUUGGCGCGAUUUGAUCAUCAAGGUCUCGCGUCGUUUCGGAGUGCUCAUCAUUGAUCCUGUCCAGGUGAAGAAGGCGUGGUUUGAUCGAGGAGGAAUGACGCCUUUAUGCAUUGAUCAUGUACUGUUAUUGAUGCAUAGUGAAGGUGAUGUUGUGCUGGCAAGUGAACUUGAAAGUCCGGUUAGUGGGCGUUUAUCUCGUUUGUUGAGGACAGUGACAAGUUUAGUAUCUCAACCUUCAGUGAAGCCGGGAGAGAUUCUUGAAAACGAACUUGUUAUUGUUCCUCUCUUGAAGGAGAAGGCUGCUGAUGUGGUGAGACUUUUAUCUGAGGGGCACUGGACUUCUACUUGUGUUGUCACGCUGAACAAGUUCCGGGACUUGUGCAACGGUUCGAAUGAGGCAUCUGUUGUUUUGAGUCACUUGUCAGGGUGUGGAAAAGCGCAUAAAAUCUCUAUUAAUCGGGGAGAAUUGAUUGAGGGUGUCAAAGUGUUCUUUUCAGAAUCAGCACUUCCCGGUAUCUCAACUCUAGACUGUGACGUUCUGCACUUGCUAAGCACCACAGAGAAGCUCCAAAAUCAACUCGAAGUGAUGGACCAACGUUGUGAAAUGUCAAGGAAAUCAGCGUUGGCAUCUCUAAAGUCUGGACACCAGAAAGUUGCUCUAAGGCAUGCAAGGGAACUGAAGCUGACCACUGAGAGCAGAGAAAAAUGCACGUCACUUCUGAACAGAGUAGAGGAAGUGUUGAGCAAUAUAGCUGAUUCCGAAUCAACGAAAAUGGUCUCAGAAGCAAUCAAAACUGGAGCGAGGGUUAUGAAGGACAUCAAGAUCAGUCCAGAUGAAGUUCAUGACUAUUUGGAAGAAAUCGAAGAUACCAUUCAAUCACAGAAGGAAGUUGAAAAGGCUCUCGAAUCAGCUCCAUAUCCAGAUAUUGAUGAUGAAAAUAUUGAAGAAGAGUUCAUGAAAUUAGAGAUGGAGCUUGAAAGCGAAAGUUCCCAGGUUAGACCAACGACUUCAGAUACUGCAGAUUCACUGUCUGAGAUGUUCUCAGAGCUUAAACUUGGCAACACAAAACAAAUAUUGGAGGAGCAAGCGACUGAACCAGUUCGGAUGAAAGAUGGCGGCAAAAAGAUUCUUGAAGCAGCAUAGUCGCAGAACGCAUCUUCAUUGUGGUGCGAUCUCUUCUCUACUUGGUGUUGUACAAUAUAAAUAGAAAGGAACUUGAUGUAUUUGUCGUCAGAGGGAAACUAGUACUCGAGAUUAUUAUUAUUAACCUAUAUGUUACAUGAACAAGGAGAGCUGGC